UGGCGCUGACAUCUAGUGGUCGUUUGUGGUAUUACAACCAAUUAGCUGUGUCCUUGGCAUUUCCUCUGGCAUUUACAAAGCCAGGGUGAUAAGCAUGCUAAUAAGGUAUCUCAUACUCCACCAAUCCCCAGAGGACAAGUUUACAGCCACUGUCUGUUUUGUACAUAAGGCGAGUGCCUUUGUUCCCUGGGGUCCCCCGUAUCAAGAAUGAGGUGUUCCUGCAAUAAAGGCUGUUGAGAAGAAUCCAACGGUGUCGCAUCUUCCUUGCUGGUCGAGGUGGGUGCUUCAACUGGUGACCAAGUAUGGGGACCCGAGAAAAUUCUCUUUUCUUGUGAGUUCAGAAGUCUUUAGUUUUCCGGACAGGCAAAGUCGGUAAGUUCCCAGAAGGGGCAAUUAGCUUCUGAAUAAGGGACCAUAAAGCUCCCAGGGAAUAGGGAUCAAAAAAUUUCUCUAAUGGGACAAUAAGGUUUUCUGGAGUAAGCAGAGACGAUGAAAGCUUUGGUAUACAGGCUACAAAGUAAGGUUCUCUGGUGUAAGCAGAGACGAUGAAAGCCUUGGUUUAGAGGCAAAAGGGUUUGUGGAACACAGCAAUGUUGUCUUUCUCAUUUGAUCCUUUGUGGGUUGGACUAGCACUUUUGCCUUAUACUCUUUUUGUGUUGUGGUGUUGCUACUGUUUGAAUUGCCAUCUUCCAGGACACGAAUGCAUUUGCUGGGAAGAGCCCACUAAUGAUGAGCCACAAGAUCAUGUGUAAAUAAACAUGCCAGCUCGCCCUGCUCGUAAAUCAAUCAUAAAUAAGGUCAUAAAAGCAUGGGAAACUCACACUCCACCCCACUCCUGUCAGCUCUUCAGGAGCUUCUUGGUCAGUGUAAGCUUAAAAUCGAAAAGAAAAUCCUGUUGAGUUUUCUUGAUGAAUGUAACCAUUGUGCUCCGUGUUUUAUAGUGUCAGGAUCGCUCAAGUUAAGAGCAUGGGACAAGUGAGGAAAAGAUCUGUAUUGGGAAACUACAGACAGCAAGCUUAAACCAGGGAAAAAGGUGCUUUGGUGUAUGGUUUGUGCCUGUUUAGAAGAUAAACGAUGUGAAGAAGCUGUUAGGACAGGUCAGAAAAUCCUUACAGAGCAACAAGAGAGUAUGUCAGAAGGAGAGAAAGUUUUGAAGGAAGGAAAGAAAAGAAAAGGAGGAAAAGAAGUAAAGGAAAAGACAGAAAAGACCAAGGAGAGGAUAGACAGAGACAGAGGUAAUAAUCAGGACCUAGAGACAAAGAAAAUAUAUCCCUCCUUAAAGGCAUUGACCUUGGGAAUGUCUAGUGACUCAGAGCUUAGUGAUAAUGACUUAGUUGACCUUGAGGAAGAAGCCACUCUGUAUGAGAAAGAGAUUUAUCAUCCUGACUGGCCACACGCCUAUGCUAUGCAGAAACAAGUCAAAGAAUUAGAUAAGAAAGCAAUUAUACCAAUGGCACCCCCUGCACCUCUGUAUAACUUUCAAUGUCAAAGGAUGGUGAAGCCUGCAGGAGGUACUCUUUUUGCCCAGAAGUAUGGAAAGAGUUAGGAUUGAGUUUUCCAGUUUUCCUGGAUGUAAAUGGGCAGCAACAUCAUGAACCUGUUGACUUUAAGACAAUAAAGCAAUUAGCAGAGUCAGUCAAAACCUAUGGAGUCAAGGCAGCUUUUGUUAUCGCUCAAAUUGAGGCUCUUGGCAGAUACUGUCUCACCCCUGGAGACUGGGGGAGUUUAUCCAGAGCUUGUCUUUCUCCGGGUCAAUAUUUGGAUUGGAAAUCUUUCCUUUAUGAAAAUGCUAACACUCAAGCUGCCAUCAAUUUGCCUUCAGGAGCAGACCCUCAGAGACAUUGGGACGCUGACAUGCUAUUGGGAAUAGGCAGAUUUGCUCUGGACCAGACUGGUUAUCCAGAUCAGGUCUAUAGCCAGAUUAAUGAAAUAGCCAUUAAAACCUGGAAAGCAUUGCCUAAUAGAGGCGCAGUCUUCAGGAACCUUACCAAGGUUCUGCAAGGACCCACAGAGCCAUUUACAGACUUUGUAGCCCUCAUUGUGGAGUCCACUACCAAGAUCUUCGGAGACCCCAAUACACCCAUGCCUCUUAAUUUUUUUUUUUAUUAACUUAAGUAUUUCUUAUAUACAUUUCAAGUGUUAUUCCCUUUCCCAGUUUCCGGGCAAACAUCACCCUCCCCCCUUCUCUUCCUUAUGGCUGUUCCCCUCCCCAACGUCCUCCCAUUGUCGCCCUCCCCCCAGCAAUCUAGGUCAUUGGCGGUUCAGUCUUAGCAGGACCCAGGGCUUCCCCUUCCACUGGUGCUCUUACUAGGAUAUUCAUUGCUACCUAUGAGAUCAGAGUCCAGGGUCAGUCCAUGUAUAGUCUUUAGGUAGUGGCUUAGUCCCUGGAAGCUCUGGUUGCUUGGCAUUGUAGUACAUAUGGGGUCUCUAGCCCCUUCAAGCUCUUCCAGUUCUUUCUCUGAUUCCUUUAACGGGGGUGCUAUUCUCAGUUCAGUGGUUUGCUUCUGGCAUUCGCGUCUGUGUUUGCUGUAUUCUGGCUGUGUCUCUCAGGAGCGAUCUACAUCCGGCUCCUGUCGGCCUGCACUUCUUUACUUCAUCCAUCUUGUCUAAUUGGAUGGCUGUAUAUGUAUGGGCCACAUGUGGGGCAGGCUCUGAAUGGGUGUUCCUUCUGUGUCUGUUUUAAUCUUUGCCUCUCUAUUCCCUGCCAAGGGUAUUCUUGUUCCCCUUUUAAAGAAGGAGUAAAGCAUUCACAUUUUGAUCAUCCGUCUUGAGUUUCAUUUGUUCUAGGCAUCUAGGGUAAUCCAAGCAUUUGGGCUAAUAGCCACUUAUCAAUGAGUGUAUACCAUGUGUGUUUUUCUGUGAUGGGGUUACCUCACUCAGGAUGAUAUUUUCCAGUCCCAGCCAUUUGCCUACGAAUUUCAUAAAGUCAUUGUUUUUGAUAGCUGAGUAAUAAUCCAUUGUGUAGAUGUACCACAUUUUCUGUAUCCAUUCCUCUGUUGUAGGGCAUCUGGGUUCUUUCCAGCUUCUGGCUAUUAUAAAUAAGGCUGCGAUGAACAUAGUGGAGCAUGUGUUUCUUUUAUAUGUUGGGGCAUCUUUUGGGUAUAUACCCAAGAGAGGUAUAGUUGGAUCCUCAGGCAGUUCAAUGUCCAAUUUUCUGAGGAAACUCCAGAAUGAUUUCCAGAAUGGUUGUACCAGUCUGCAAUCCCACAAACAAUGGAGGAGUGUUCCUCUUUCUCUGCAUCCUCGCCAGCAUCUGCUGUCACCUGAGUUUUUGAUCUUAGCCAUUCUCACUGGUGUGAGGUGAAAUCUCAGGGUUGUUUUGAUUUGCAUUUCCCUUAUGACUAAAGAUGUUGAACAUUUCUUUCGGUGCUUCUCUGCCAUUCGGCAUUCCUCAGCUGUGAAUUCUUUGUUUAGCUCUGAACCCCAUUUUUUAAUAGGGUUAUUUGUCUCCCUGCGGUCUAACUUCUUGAGUUCUUUGUAUAUUUUGGAUAUAAGGCCUCUGUCUGUUGUAGGAUUGGUAAAGAUCUUUUCCCAAUCUGUUGGUUGCUGUUUUGUCCUAACCACAGUGUCCUUUGCCUUACAAAAGCUUUGCAGUUUUAUGAGAUCCCAUUUGUCGAUUCUUGAUCUUAGAGCAUAAGCCAUUGGUGUUUUGUUCAGGAAAUUUUUUCCAGUGCCCAUGUGUUCCAGAUGCUUCCUAGUUUUUCUUCUAUUAGUUUGAGUGUAUCUGGUUUGAUGUGGAGGUCCUUGAUCCACUUGGACUUAAGCUUAGUACAGGGUGAUAAGCAUGGAUCGAUCUGCAUUCUUCUACAUGUUGAUCUCCAGUUGAACCAGCACCAUUUGCUGAAAAUGCUGUCAUUUUUCCAUUUGAUGGUUUUGGCUCCUUUGUCAAAAAUCAAGUGCCCAUAGGUGUGUGCGUUCAUUUCUGAGUCUUCAAUUCUGUUCCUUUGAUCAAUCUGUCUGUCUCUGUACCAAUACUACCCAGUUUUUAUCACUAUUGCUCUGUAAUACUGCUUGAGUUCAGGGAUAGUGAUUCCCCCUGAAGUCCUUUUAUUAUUGAGGAUAGUUUUAGCUAUCCUGGGUUUUUUGUUAUUCCAGAUGAAUUUGCAAAUUGUUCUGUCUAGCUCUUUGAAGAAUUGGAUUGGUAUUUUGAUGGGGAUUGCAUUGAAUCUGUAGAUCGCUUUUGGUAAAACGGCCAUUUUUACUAUAUUAAUCCUGCCAAUCCAUGAGCAUGGGUGAUCUUUCCAUCUUCUGAGGUCUUCUUCAAUUUCUUUCUUCAGAGUCUUGAAGUUCUUAUUGUACAGAUCUUUUACUUGCUUGGUUAAAGUCACACCGAGGUACUUUAUAUUCUUUGGGUCUAUUAUGAAGGGUGUCGUUUCCCUAAUUUCUUUCUCGGCUUGUUUCUCUUUUGUGUAGAGGAAGGCUACUGAUUUAUUUGAGUUAAUUUUAUACCCAGCCACUUUGCUGAAGUUGUUUAUCAGCUUUAGUAGUUCUCUGGUGGAACUUUUGGGAUCACUUAAAUAUACUAUCAUAUCAUCUGCAAAUAGUGAUAUUUUGACUUCUUCUUUUCCGAUCUGUAUCCUCUUGACCUCUUUUUGUUGUCUGAUUUCUCUGGGUAGAACUUCAAGAACUAUAUUGAAUAAGUAGGGAGAGAGUGGGCAGCCUUGUCUAGUCCCUGAUUUUAGAGGGAUUGCUUCAAGUUUCUCUCCAUUUAGUUUAAUGUUAGCAACUGGUUUGCUGUAUAUGGCUUUUACUAUGUUUAGUUAUGGGCCUUGAAUUCCAAUUCUUUCCAGGACUUUUAUCAUGAAGGGGUGUUGAAUUUUGUCAAAUGCUUUCUCAGCACCUAAUGAAAUGAUCAUGUGGUUUUGUUUUUUCAGUUUGUUUAUAUAAUGGAUCACGUUGAUGGUUUUCCGUAUAUUAAACCAUCCCUGCAUGCCUGGGAUGAAGCCUACUUGAUCAUGGUGGAUGAUUAUUUUGAUGUGCUCUUGGAUUCGGUUUGCCAGAAUUUUAUUGAGUAUUUUUGCAUCGAUAUUCAUAAGGGAAGUUGGUCUGAAGUUGUCUUUCUUUGUUGGGUAUUUGUGUGGUUUAGGUAUAAGAGUAAUUGUGGCUUCAUAGAAGGAAUUCGGUAGUGCUCCAUCUGUUUCAAUUUUGUGGAAUUGUUUGGAUAAUAUUGGUACGAGGUCUUCUAUGAAGGUCUGAUAGAAUUCUGCACUAAACCCGUCUGGAUCUGGGCUCUUUUGGUUGGGAGACCUUUACUGACUGCUUCUAUUUCCUUAGGAGUUAUGGGUUGUUUAACUGGUUUAUCUGUUCCUGGUUUAACUUCGGUACCUGUUAUCUGUUUAGGAGAUUGUCCAUUUCCUGCAGAUUUUCAAGUUUUGUUGAAUAUAGGUUUUUAUAGUAAGACCUGAUAAUUUUUUGAAUUUCCUCUGAAUCUGUAGUUAUGUCUCCCUUUUCAUUUCUGAUUUUGUUAAUUUGUACACACUCUCUGUGUCCUCUCCUUAGUCUGGCUAAGGGUUUAUCUAUCUUGUUGAUUUUCUCAAAGAACCAACUUUUGGUUCUGUUGAUUCUUUCUAUGGUCCUUUUUGUUUCUACUUGGUUGAUUGCAGCUCUGAGUUUGAUUAUUUCCUGCCUUCUACUCCUCCUGGCUGUACUUGCUUCUUUUUGUUCUAGAUGUUUUAGGUGUUCUGUUAAGCUGGUGACAUAUGCUCUUUCCUGUUUUUUUCUGCAGGCACUCAGUGCUAUGAGUUUUCCUCUUAGCACAGCUUUCAUUGUGUCCUAUAAGUUUGGGUAUGUUGUACCUUCAUUUUCAUUAAAUUCUAAAAAGUCUUUAAUUUCUUUCUUUAUUUCUUCCUUUAUCAGGUUAUCGUUGAGUAGAGAAUUGUUCAAUUUCCACAUAUAUGUGGGCAUUCUUCCCUUAUUAUUAUUGAAGACCAGUUUUAGGCAGUCGUGGUCUGAUAGCAUGCAUGGGAUUAUUUCUAUCUUUCUGUACCUGUUGUGGCCCGUUUUUUUUACCAAUUAUAUGGUCAAUUUUGGAGAAAGUACCAUGAGGAGCUGAGAAGAAGGUAUAUCCUUUUGCUUUAGGAUAGAAUGUUCUAUAAAUAUCUGUUAAGUCCAUUUGGAUCAUGACUUCUCUUAGUCUGUCUACAUCUUUGUUUAAUUUCUGUUUCCAUGAUCUGUCCAUUGAUGAGAGUGGGGUGUUGAAAUCUCCUACUAUUAUGGUGUUUGGUGCAAUGUAUGUUUUGAGCUUUAGUAAGGUUUCUUUUACGUAUGUAGGUGCCCUUUAUUUGGGGCAUAGAUAUUUAGGAUUGAGAGUUCAUCUUGGUGGAAUUUUCCUUUGAUGAAUAUGAAGUGUCCUUCCUCAUCUUUUUUGAUGAAUUUUAGUUGAGAAUUGAUUUUAUUUUAUAUUAGAAUGGCUACUACAGCUUUCUUCUUCUGACCAUUUACUUGGAACGUUGUUUUCUAGGCUUUCCCUCUGAGGUAGUGUCUGUCUUUGUCUCUGAGGUGUGUUUCCUGUAGGGAGCAGAAUGUAGGGUCCUCGUUGCAUAUCCAGUUUGUUAAUCUAUGUCUUUUAAUCGGGGAGUUUAGGCCAUUGAUGUUGAAAGAUAUUAAGGAAUAGUGAUUAUUGCUUCCUGUUAUAUAUAUAUUUGGAUAUGAGGUUAUGUUUGUGUGCUUUUCUUCUCUUUGUUUUGUUGCCAAGAUGAUUAGUUUCUUGCUUCUUCUAGGGUAUAACUUGCCUCCUUAUGUUGGGCUUUACCAUUUAUUAUCCUUUGUAGUGCUGGAUUUGUUGAAAGAUAUUGUGUAAACUUGGUUUUGUCAUGGAAUAUCUUGGUUUCUCCAUCUAUGUUAAUUGAGAGUUUUGCAGGAUACAGUAACCUAGACUGGCAUUUGUGUUCUCUUAGGGUCUGUAUGACAUCUGUCCAGGAUCUUCUGGCUUUCAUAGUUUCUGGCGAAAAGUGUGGUGUGAUUCUGAUAGGUCUGCCUUUAUAUGUUACUUGACCUUUUUCCCUUACUGCUUUUAAUAGUCUUUAUUUUGUGCGUUUGGUGUUUUGACUCUUAUGUGACAGGAGGUGUUUCUUUUCUGGUCCAAUCUAUUUGGAGUUCUGUAGGCUUCUUGUAUGCAUAUGGGUAUCUCUAUUUUUAGGUAAGGGAAGUUUUCUUCUAUGAUUUUGUUGAAGAUAUUUACUGGUCCUUUGAGGUGGGAGUCUUCACUCUCUUCUAUACUUAUUAUCCUUAGGUUGUAUCUUCUCAUUGAGUCCUGGAUUUCCUGUAUGUUUUGGACCAAUAGCUUUUUCCGCUUUACAUUAUCUUUGACAGUUGACUCAAUGAUUUCUAUGGUAUCUUCUGCUCCUGAGAUUCUUUCUUCCAUCUCUUGUAUUCUGUUAGUGAAUCCCAUAUCUAUAGCUCCUUGUCUCUUCUUUUGGUUUUCUAUAUCCAGCGUUGUUUCCAUGUGUUCUUUCUUGAUUGCUUCUAUUUCCAUUUUUAAUUCCUUCAACUGUUUGAUUGUGUUUUCCUGGAAUUCUUUCAGGGAUUUUUUGACUCCUCUCUAUGUGCUUCUACUUGUUUAUUUAUGUUUUCCUGGAAUUCUUUCAGGGAUUUUUGCGAUUCCUCUCUGUAGGCUUCUACUUGUUCUCUAAGGGAGUUCUUCACAUCUUUCUUGAAGUCCUCCAGCAUCAUGAUCAAAUAUGAUUUUGAAACUAGAUCUUGCUUUUCUGGUGUGUUUGGAUAUUCAGUGUUUGCUUUGGUGGGAGAAUUGGGUCCGAUGAUGCCAUGUAGUCUUGGUUUCUGUUGCUUGGGUUCCUGAGCUUGCCUCUUGCCAUCAGAUCAUCUCUAGUGUUACGUUGUUCUGCUAUUUCUGACAGUGGCUAGACUGUCCUAUAAGCCUGUAUGUCAGGAGUGCUGUAGACCUGUUUUCCUGUUUUCUUUCAGCCAGUUAUAGGGACAGAGUGUUCUGCUUUCGGGCGUGUAGUUUUUCCUAUCUACAGGUCUUCAGCUGUUCCUGUGGGCCUGUGUCUUGAGUUCACCAGGCAGGUCACUUGCAGCAGAAAAGUUGGUCUUACCUGUGGUCCUGAGGCUCAAGUUUGCUCGUGGGGUGCUGCCUACGAGCUCUCCGUGGUGGCAGCAACCAGGAAGAUCUGCACUGCCCUUUCUGGGAGCUUCCAUGCACCAGGGUUCCAGAUGGUGUUUGGUGUUUUCCUCUGGCAUCAGAGAUGUGUGCAGAGUGCAGUCUCUUCUGAUUUCCCAGGCGUGUCUGCAUCUCUGAAGGUUUAACUCUCCCUCCCUGGGGAUUUGGGUGCAGAGAACUGUUUAUCUGCUCGGUCCCCUCAGGUUCUGGCGGUGUCUCAGACACAGUGGAUCUGCUGCUCCUGGGCCCUCCUCUACGGGAACCCAGAGGCCGUAUACAGUUUCCUCUUGGGCCAGGGAUGUGAGCAGGGGUAGGCAGUGUUGGUUUUCUCUUCUGCUCUGCAGCCUCAGGAGUGCCCACCUGACCAGGCGGUGAGGUCUCUCUCCCAUGGGGUUUGGGAACAGAGAGCUGCUGCGGGCAGGGAUCCGCCAGUUUGUGACUCCCCCUGCUACAUACUGGAAGUGCCCGGUCCUAGAGGAAUUUUGCCUCUGUGUGUCCUGAGAUCACCAGGCAGGUCACUUGCAGCAGAAAAGUUGGUCUUACCUGUGGUCCCAAGGCUCAAGUUUGCUCGUGGGGUGCUGCCUAUGAGCUCUCCACAGCGGCAGCAACCAGAGCUAUGCCUCUUAUUAAGCAGCUAGUGUAUGAACAAUGUACAAAAGAUUGUAGGACUGCUAUAGCACCGUAUAAACAUAAUGGUUAAGAAUUUGGAUGAAGGUCUGCAGGGAGAUAGGAGGGCCAUUGACUAAUGUUGGCCUAGCUGCAGCAAUGGUACAAUUAAAAAGGAAGGGUACUACAGAGAUUUGCUUCAGAUGUGGCCGUAAAGGGCACUAAAGAAGUCAGUGCCCAGACAGAAGUGGAGAACAGAGUAAUAGCAGACCUCCACAACCUAGAUUGUGCCCCUGCUGUAAGAAAGGGAACCACUGGGCAAAUGAAUGUCAAUCUAUAAAAGACUUGGAUGGUCGCCCCCUAGCGACAGGAUAUGUUGGUGCACGGCCAAAAAACGGACAAAGGGGCCCACGUCCCCAGGGCCCUCAAAUAUAUGGGGCUCUACAGAACGACAGGCAGGGACAAGACAAACAGAGGCCUUGGCCUUCUCUUCACCACCCAAAGGACCAAGGAAGCCACUAAAGGCUCCGCAGGACUGGACCUCCACUCCACCACCAGACUCAUACUGACCCCCCAAGUGGGAGUACAGCCUAUAGACACAGAUUUUAGAGGACCUCUCCCUAAAGAUACAGUUGGGCUGUUGUUGGGACGCUCCUCCUCUGCCCUGAAAGGUUUACAGAUUGUACCUGGAGUAAUUGACCCUGAUUAUUUAGGCACAGUAAAAGUCUUGGUAACCUCUCCCCAGGGAAUUACUGCUAUUUCUCCUGGAGACAGAAUUGCCCAGCUGCUGCUUCUGCCUAUCUUGCAUAGGCAUUUUCCUGCUGAAAAUAGAGUCAGAAGAGACAGAAGUUUAGGAUCUACAGGCUCCCGAUUUGCCUUUAUCUUGUUAGAACUGGGUAAUCGUCCAAUGUUAACUUUGACUGUGGAGGGAUGUUCUUUCCUUGGUUUGUGAGACACUGGAGCAGAUCAUAGUAUCAUCUCUGUUCAUGACUGGCCACCCAGGUGGCCUACGCAAACAUCAUCUCAGGCCCUAUGUGGUCUAGGGUAUGAAAUGGCUCCCUUACUUAGCUCCAAGGAGUUGACAUGGAAUGAUGCAGAAGGAAGGUCAGGAAAGAUUACUCCAUAUAUUAUAGACAUUCCUGUGACACUGUGGGGCAGAGAUGUAUUAAUAAAUUUAGACAUGAAACUGACUAAUGAGUACUCCCCACAGGCCAAGGAUAUGAUGACAAAAAUGGGCUACAUGCCCAGAAAAGGUCUAGGAAAAAAUUUACAAGGACAAGCUGACCCAGUGCUGCUGAAUUCUAAAAGGGACAGGACAGGUCUGGGUUUUUCCUAGGGGCCAUUGAGGGAGGCACACCCAUUACAUGGAAAACAGAGGAACAUGUGUGGAUUCCUCAAUGGCCUUUAUCCUCUGAAAAAUUAACUGCUGCUGCUGAAUUAGUGUCUGAACAGCUGCAUUUGGGACAUAUACAGCCAGCCACAUCCACCCUGGAACACACCUAUAUUUGUUAUCAAGAAAAAAUCAGAAAAGUGGCAAUUAUGACAUGAUUUAAGAGCUAUCAAUUCUCAGAUGCAAAUAGUGGGUCCCAUACAGAGAGGUUUACCACUGCUCUCUAGUAUUCCUGAUGAUUGGCCUAUUAUUAUUAUUGACAUUAAAGACUGCUUUUUAUUCCAUUCCUCUUGCCCCACAAGAUAGCGUGCGAUUUGCAUUUACUUUACCCUCUAUGAAUAAUGAAGAACCUGAUAAGCAUUAUCAGUGGGUGGUCUUGCCUCAAGGUAUGGCGAAUAGCCCUACUAUGUGUCAGCUGUAUGUAUGACAAGCCCUACAGCCUAUACGUGACCAAUUCCCAAAAUUAAGAAUAAUACAUUUUAUGGAUGAUAUAUUGCUUUCCGCUAAAGAUUGUAGCACCCUAGAAACGGCCUAUGCUAAAGUGGUUAAGGUGCUUGAAAACAAUCAAUUGUUUAUAGCACCAGAAAAGGUUCAAAUGGGCAAAAAGGGAGAGUAUUUAGGAACAAAGAUUACUCCUCAUAGUAUUUCCCCUCAGAAAAUUGAAUUACGAAAAGAUCAUUUAAAAACAUUAAAUGACUUUCAAAAGUUACUAGGAAGCAUAAAUUGGAUUCGACCCUAUAGUAAAAUGCCUAAUGUAGAUUUACAGCCACUCUAUGAGAUCCUGAAAGGAGAUUCUCAGCUUACUUCACCCCGUGCUUUAACCAAGGAAGCACGAUUAUCCUUAAGGAAAGUAGAGGAAGGACUGGAAAAGGCAAUGCUAAGAAAGUACAGGGAAAAGGAGGAUCUUCUUUUGUGUAUACUGAGAACUUUUCAUCAGUCUACAGGAGUGCUAUGGCAACAAGGACCACUUCUGUGGAUUUAUCCCCAUAUUUCCCCUAAUAAGACCCUUGAAUAUUAUCCUUCUGCUGUUGCACAGCUUGCUAUGUUAUGUGUUAAAUCUUGUAUUCAGCAUUUUGGUAUUUUACCCAAGAAAAUUAUUAUACCAUAUACUGCAACACAGGUGGAAACACUGUGUGCCCUAAUAGAUGAUUGGGCCAUAUUAUGCUGUAGUUUUGAUGGAGAGUUUGACAAUCAUUAUCCUAAGGAUCCUUUGUUACAAUUUUUACUGAACAUCCAGUGAUUUUUCCUAAAGUCACUGCCUCAGAGCCUUUGUCUGGAGCGUUAGAUAUUUAUACAGAUGGCUCCAAGACAGGUGUAGGUGCCUAUAUGGUUGAUUCUCAAGAACCAGUAUUAAUUCAAUACAGUCCAGGCACCCCCCAAAUUACAGAAUGUAAAAUUGUAUUGAAAGUUUUUAUAAGAUUUCAUGAUUCUUUUAAUUUAAUUUCUGAUUCUGCUUAUGUAGUUAACCCUGUGCGCUCACUUGAAAUUGCAUGGCCAAUUAGGUCGACUAGUACUGUAUGUCAAAUUCUUUUAGAAUUACAAAAAUUGAUUUGGGCCAGAAAAAAUAAAUUUUUCAUACAACAUAAUCGAGCUCAUACUAAUUUGCCUGGUCCCAGGGCCAGUAAUAAUGCCCUGGUGGAUGGUAGUACUCAUAGAGAAUUUAUUUUUCAUGCAGCUCCAGUUGAUCUCGCUAGAGAAUUUCAUCAAAAGUUCCAUGUUCCUGCUUUCACUCUUCAACAAAAAUUUAAAAUCUCUAGAGCUGCAGCUCGUAAUGUGGUGCUAAGUUGCCAGAAUUGUGUUCAAUUUCACCCCCCUCCUCAGGUGGGAAUUGACCCUCGUGGUCUGAUUCUGCUAAGACUUUGGCAGAUGGAUGUCACACACAUAUCUCAAUUUGGAAAUUUAAAAUAUGCUCAUGUUUCUGUUGAUACCUGCUCCGGUAUUAUACAUGCCACUCUGAUCACUGUGAAAAGGCUCGUAAUGCCAUUAGUCAUUGCUUAGAGGCGUGGGCAGCCUGGGGAAAGCCUGAUAGUCUCAAGACAGACAACGGGCCUGCCUACACUGCAAAGUCCUUUUGGGCAUUUUGCCAAACUAUGCAGGUCAAACAUACUACAGGAUUGCCAUACAAUCCCCAAGGUCAAGGAAUUGUGGAAAAAGCACAUCAUACCUUAAAAGAGCUCUUACAAAAACAAAAAGGGGAAUUGUCUAUGGCAGAACACCAAGAGAACAGUUGUCUUUAGCUCUUUUUACUCGGAAUUUCUUAAUUUUGGACACGCAUGGCUGCUCUGCUGCGGAUCGCCAUGCUGCUACUAAACCUAUGACUAAUGCAGACGUAAAGUGGAAGGAUGUCUUAACUGGUGAAUGGUGUGGCCCAGAUCCCGUAAUUUCGAGAUCUAGGGGAGCUGUUUGUGUUUUUCCACAGAAUCAAGACAAUCCGAUCUGGGUGCCUGAACGUUUGACUCGCAAACUGCCUCCUGCUAUUCCUGAAGAUGAGACUAUGAACCUUAUUAUUACUACUGGGAAUGGUAAUCCAGGCAAGUGUCUUUGAUCCCCGGGGUCCCAAGUAUCAAGAAUGAGGUGUUCCUGCAAUAACGGCUGUUGAGAAGAACCCAACGGUGUCGUGUCUUCCUUGCUGGUCGAGGUGGGUGCUUCAGGAUGAAAGGAAACAGGAAAACAGGUCUACAGCACUCCUGACACACAGGCUUAGAGGACAGUCUAGCCACUGUCAGAAAUAGCAGAACGAGGUAACACCGGAGACAACCUGAUGGCAAGAGGCAAGCACAGGAACCCAAGCAACUGAAACCAAGGCUACAUGGCAUCAUCAGAGCCCAAUUCACCCACCAAAGCAAACACUGAAUAUCCAAACACAAAAGAAAAGCAAGAUCUAGAUUUAAAAACACAUUUGAUCAUGAUGCUGGAGGACUUCAAGAAAGACAUGAAGAACUUCCUUAGAGAAACACAGGAAAACAUAAAUAAACAAGUAGAAGCCUAUAGAGAGGAAUCAAAAAAAUCCAUGAAAGAAUUUCAGGAAAACACAAUCAAACUGUUGAAGGAAUUAAAAAUGGAAAUAGAAGCAAAGAAGAAAGAACACAGGGAAACAACCCUGGAUAUAGAAAACCAAAGGAAGAGACAAGGAGCCAUAGAUAUAAGCAUCACAAACAGAAUACAAGAGGUAGAAGAGAGAAUCUCAGGAACAGAAGAUUCCAUAGAAAUCAUCGACACAACUGUCAAAUAUAAUGUAAAACGGAAAGAGCUACUGGUUCAAAACAUACAGGAAAUCAGGGACACAAUGAGAAGAUCAAACCUAAGGAUAAUAGGUAUAGAAGAGAGUGAAGACACCUAGCUCAAAGGACCAGUAAAUAUCUUCAAAAAAUCAUAGAAGAAAACUUCCCUAACCUAAAGAAAGAGAUGCCCAUGAACAUACAAGAAGACUACAGAAUUCCAAAUAGAUUGGACCAGAAAAGAAACACCUCCUGUCACAUAAUAGUCAAAACAGCAAAUGCACAAAACAAAGAAAGAAUAUUAAAAGCAGUAAGGGAAAAAGGUCAAGUAACUUAUAAAAGCAGACCUGUCAGCAUCACACCAGACUUCUCACCAGACACUGUGAAAGUCAGAAGAACCUGGACAGAUGUCAUACUGACCCUAAGAGAACACAAUUGCCAUCACAGAUUACUGUAUCCUGUAAAAAAUCUCAAUUAACAUAGAUGUAGAAACCAAGAUAUUCCAUGACAAAUCCAAAUUUACACAAUAUCUUUCUACAAAUUCAGCAGUACAAAGGAAAAUCUAUGGUAAAGCCCAACAUAAGGAGGCAAGUUAGACCCUAGAAAAACCAAGAAACUAAUCAUCUUGGCAAAAAAUCAAAGAGCAGAAAAGCACACAAACAUAAUCUCACAUGCAAAUAUAAAUAUAACAGGAUGCAAUAAUCACUAUUCAUUAAUAUCUCUCAACAUCAAUGGUCUCAACUCUCCAAUAAAAAGACAUAGAUUAACAAACUGGAUAUGCAAUGAGGAUCCUGCAUUCUGCUGACUACAGGAAACACACAAAAACAUACACUACCUCAGAGUGAAAUGCUGGAAAACGAAUUUCCAAGCAAAUGGUCUGAAGAAGCAAGAUUGUGUAGCCAUUCUAAUAUUGAAUAAAAUCGACCUUCAACUUAAAGUCAUCAAAAUGAUAAGGAAGGACACUACAUAUUCAUCAAAGGAAAAAUCCACCUAGAUGAACUCUCAAUCCUCAAUAUCUAUGCUGCAAAUAUAAGGGCACAUACCUACAUGAAAGGAACCUUACUAAAGCUCAAAGCAUAUAUUGCACAUCACACAAUAAUAGUAGGAGAUUUCAAAACCCCACUCUUAUCAAUGGACAGAUCAUGGAAACAGAAAUUAAAUAGAGAUAUACACAGACUAAGAGAAGUCAUGAACCAAGUGGACUUAACAGAUAUUUAUAGAACAUCCUACACUAAAGCAAAAGGAUAUACGUUUUACUCACCACCUCAUGUUACUUUCUCCAAAAUUGACCAUAUAAUUGGUGAUAAAACAGGCCUCAAUAGAUAUAGAAAGACAGAAAUACUCCCAUGCAUCCUAUCAGACCAUCACGGGCUAAAUCCGGUCUUCAAUAACAGAAAGGGAAGGAUGCCCACAUAUACAUGGAAGUUGAACAAUGCUCUACUCAAUGAUAAUCUAGUGAGGUAAGAAAUAAAGAAAGAAAUUAAAGACUUUUUAUAAUUUAAUAAAAAUGAAGGAACAACAUCUCCAAACUUAUGGGACACAAUGAAACCUGUGCUAAGAGGAAAACGCAUAGGUCUCAGUGUCAGCAGAAAGAAACAAGAGAAAUGGGGUUGGGGAUUUAGCUCAGUGGUAGAGCGCUUGCCUAGGAAGCGCAAGGCCCUGGGUUCGGUCCCCAGCUCCGAAAAAAAAAAAAAAAAAAAAAAAAAAACAAGAGAAAGCAUAUGUCAGCAGCUUGACAGCACACCUAAAAGCUCUAGAACAAAAAGAAGCAAAAACAGCCAGGAGGAGCAGAAGGCAGGAAAUAAUCAAACUCAGAGCUGAAAUCAACCAAGUAGAAACAAAAAGGACCAUACAAAGAAUCAACAGAACCAAAAGUUGGUUCUUUGAGAAAAUCAACAAGAAAGAUAAACCCUUAGCCAGACUAAUGAGAGGACACAGAGAGUGUGUACAAAUUAACAAAAUCAGAAAUGAAAAGGGAUACAUAACUACAGAUUCAGAGAAAAUUCAAAAAAUCAUCAGAUCCUACUACAAAAGCCUAUAUUCCACAAAACUUGAAAAUCUUCAGGAAAUGGACAAUUUCCUAGACAGAUACCAGGUACUGAAGUUAAAUCAGGAACAGAUAAACCAUUUAAACAGUCCCAUAAUUCCUAACGAAAUAGAAGCAGUCAUUAAAGGUCUCCCAACCAAAAAGAGUCCAGGUCCAGACUGGAUUAGUGCAGAGAUCUAUCAGACCUUCAUAGAAGACCUCGUACCAAUACUAUCCAAACUAUUCCACAAAAUUGAAACAGAUGGAGCACUACCGAAUUCCUUCUAUGAAGCCACAAUUACUCUUAUACCUAAACCACACAAAGACCCAACAAAGAAAGAGAACUUCAGACCAAUUUCCCCUAUGAAUAUCGACGCAAAAAUACUCAAUAAAAUUCUGGCAAACCGAAUCCAAGAACACAUCAAAACAAUCAUCCACCAUGAUCAAGUAGGCUUCAUCCCAGGCAUGCAGGGAUGGUUUAAUAUACAGAAAACAAUCAACAUAAUCCAUUAUAUAAACAAACUGAAAUAUGAAAACCACAUGAUCAUUUCAUUAGAUGCUGAGAAAGCAUUUGAAAAAUUCAACAGCCCUUCAUGAUAAAAGUCCUGGAAAGAAUUGGAAUUCAAGGCCUAUACCUAAACAUAGUAAAAACCGUACACAGCAAACCAGUUGCUAACAUUAAACUAAAUGAAGAGAAACUUGAAGCAAUCCCACUAAAAUCAGGGGCUAGACAAGGCUGCCCACUCUCUCCUUUCUUAUUCAAUAUACUUCUUGAAGUUCUAGUCAGAGCAAUCAGACAACAAAAGGAGAUCAAGGGGAUACAGAUUGGAAAAGAAGAAGUCAAAAUAUCACUAUUUGCAUAUGAUAUGAUAGUAUAUUUACGUGAUCCCCAAAGUUCCACCAGAGAACUACUUAACUGGAUAAACACCUUCAGCAGAGUGGCUGGGUACAAAAUUAACUCAAAUAAAUCAGUAGCCUUCCUCUACACAAAAGAGAAACAAGUCGAGAAAGAAAUUAGGGAAAAGACAUGCUUCAUAAUAGUCCCAAAUAAUAUAAAAUACCUCAGUGUGAAUUGAAACAAGCAAGUGAAAGAUCUGUAUGAUAAGAACUUCAAGCCUCUGAAGAAAGAAAUUGAAGAAGACCUCCGAAGAUGGAAAGAUCUCCCUUGCUUAUGGAUUGGCAGGACUAAUAUAGUAAAAAUGGCCAUUUUACCAAAAGCAAUCUGCAGAUUCAAUGCAAUCCCCAUCAAAAUACCAAUCUAAUUCUUCAGAGAAUCAUACAGAACAAUUUGCAAAUUCAUCUGGAAUAAUAAAAAACCCACGAUAGCUAAAACUAUCCUCAACAGUAAAAGGACUUCUGGGGGAAUCACUAUCUCUGAACUCAAGCAGUAUUACAGAACAAUAGUGGUAAAAACUGCAUGCUAUUGGUACAGAGACAGACAGAUAGACCAGUGGAAUAGAACUGAAGACCCAGAAAUGAACCCACACACCUAUGGGCACUUGAUUUUUGACAAAGGAGCCAAAACCAUCCAAUGGAAAAAAGAUAGCAUUUUCAGCAAAUGGUCAACUGGAGGUCACCAUGUAGAAGAAUGCAGAUCAAUCCAUGCUUAUCACCCUGUACAAAGCUUUAGUCCAAAUGGAUCAAGGACCUCCACAUCAAACCAGAUACACUCAAACUAAUAGAAGAAAAUGUGGGGAAGCAUCUCGAACACACAGGCACUGGAAAAUAUUUCCUGAACAAAACACCACUAGCUUAUGCUCUAAGAUCAAAAAUCGACAAAUGGUAUCUCAUAAAACUGCAAAGUUUCUGUAAGGCAAAGGACACUGUUGUUAGGACGAAACAACAACCAACAAAUUGGAAAAAGAUCUUUACCAAUCCUACAACAGAUAGAGGGUUUAUGUCAAAAGUAUACAAAGAACUCAAGAAUUUAGACUGCAGGGAGACAAAUAACCCUAUUAAAAAUGGGGUUCAGAGCUAAACAAAGAAUUCACAGGUGAGGAAUUCCUAAUGGCUGAGAAACACCUAAAGAAAUGUUCAACAUCUUUAGUCAUAAGGGAAAUGCAAAUCAAAGCAACCCUGAGAUUUCACCUCACACCAGUGAGAAUGGCUAAAAUCAAAAACUCAGGUGACAGCAAAUGCUGGUGAGGAUGUGGAGAAAGAGGAACACUUCUCCAUUGUUGGUGGGAGUGCAGACUGGUACAACCAUUCUGGAAAUCAGUCUGGAGAUUCCUCAGAAAAGUGGACAUUGAAAUACCUGAGGACCCAGCAAUACCUCUCUUAGGCAUAUACCCAAAUGAUGCCCCAACAUAUAACAAAGACACAUGCUCCAGUAUGUUCAUAGCAGCCUUAUUUAUAAUAGCCAGAAGCUGGAAAUAAACCAGAUGCCCUUCAACAGACGAAUGGAUAGAGAAAAUGUGGUACAUCUACACAAUGGAAUAUUACUCAGCUAUCAAAAACAAUGACUUUAUGAAAUUCGUAGGCAAAUGGUUGGAACUGGAAAAUAUCAUCCUGAGUGAGCUAACCCAAUCACAGAAAGACAUACAUGGUAUGCACUCAUUGAUAAGUGGCUAUUAGCCCAAAUGCUUGAAUUACCCUAGAUCCCUAGAACAAACGAAACUCAAGAUGGAUGACCAAAAUGCGAAUGCUUCACUCCUUCUUUAAAAGGGGAACAAGAAUACCCUUGGCAGGAAAUAGGAAGGCAAAGUUUAGAACAGUGGCAGAAUGAACACCUAUUCAGAGCCCGCCCCACAUGUGGCCCAUAUAUAUAUACAGCCACCAAACUAGAUAAGAUGGAUGAAGCAAAGAAGUGCAGGCCGACAGGAACCGGAUGUAGAUCUCUCCUGAGAGACACAGCCAGAAUACAGCAAAUACAUAGGUGAAUGCCAGCAGCAAACCACUGAACUGGGAAUGGGACCCCCGUUGAGGGAAUCAGAGAAAGAACUGGAAGAGCUUGAAGGGGCUCGAGACACCAUGUGAACAACAAUGCCUACCAACCAGAGCUUCCAGUGACUACGCCACUACCCAAAGACUAUACAUGAACUGACCAUGGGCUCCAACCUCAUAGGUAGCAAUGAAUAGCCUAGUAAUAGCACCAGUGGAAGGGGAAGCCCUUGGUCCUGCCAAUACUGAACCCCCAGUGAAUGUGAUUGUUGGGGGGAAGGCGGUAAUGGGGAGAGGAUGGGGAGGGGAACACUCAUGUACAAGGGGCAUGGGAGGGGUUAGGGGAUGUUGACCUGGAAACCGGGAAGGGGAAUAACAAUUGAAAUGUAAAUAAGAAAUGCUCAAGUUAAUAAAGAUAAAAAAAUAAAAAGAUGCCAAAAGCCUACAAUGGAAAAAAGAAAUGAUCUUCAACAAAUGAUACUGAUCUAACUGGAAGACAAUAUGUAGAAGAAAGAAAAUAGAUCCAUAUUUAUCACCUUGUACAAAAUUCAAGUCCAAAUAGAUCAAGGACUUCAAAUUAAAACCAGAUACACUAAAUAUCAUAGAAGAGAAAGUGGGAAAUACCCAUGAACACAUUGGAACAGGAGACAAUAUCUUGAACAGAACACCAGUGUCUCAGAUCAGUUUUGAGGAUCAACAACUGAUAAAUGGGCCCUCGUGAAACUCAAAGGCUUCUGUAAGUCAAAGGAUAUUGUGAAUAAGGGAAAAUGGUAGCCUACAGAUUUUGAAAGGAUCUGAACAUACCUACAUAUGAGAGAAGGCUAAUAUCUGAAACUUAUUUUUUAAAUUUUUUACUGGUUUUUUAUUCAUUUACAUUUCAAAUGUUAUGCCCCUUCCCAGUUUUCCUUCCACAAGCCCCCUAUCCUCUCCUUACUCCCCCUACCCCUAUUUCCCACCUGCCCACCCACUAUGGCCUCAGUGGCCUAGCAUUUUCCUAUCCUGGGUCAUCAAGCCUGUAUAGGACCAAGGGGUUUCCUUUCCAGUGAUGCCAUAUAAGGCAAUCCUCUCAUAAAUAUCCACCUGGAGGCAUGGGGAACCCCAGUAUACUCUUUGGUUGGUGGCUUAGUACUUGGGAACAUUGGGGGCUCUGAUUGGUUGAUAUUGUUGUUCUUCCUAUGAGGUUGCUAUAGUCCUUUCCCUUUUCCUUCCAGGUCCCCAUGCUUUGUCCAAUGAUUGGCUGUGUACAUCCACAUCUGUAUUGGUUUGAAUCUGGCAGAUCCGCUCAGGGGAAAGCUCUACUGGGCUCCUUUCAGAAAUGCAGGGCUUGGAAAUGGAGUAGAGCCUGAGGAAUGGCCAAACAAAACCAGCCCAACUUGAGACACAUCCCAAGGACAAACACCAAACCCUGACACUAUUACUAAUACUCUGUUAUGCCUGCAGACAAGAGUCUAGCAUGGCUGUCCUCAGACAGGCUCAGACAACCAACUGACUCAGACAGAUGCAGACAUCCACAGCCAAACAAUGGAUGGAGUUUGGUGACUUUUAUGGAAGAAGAGGAAGAAGGAUUGCGACCUUUCUCUUUUGAGAGGGGAAAUCGACAAGAAGACCAACAGAAUAUCUUUUUAGAGAUGGGAAUUCCACAAGAAGAACAACAGAAUCAACUGACCUCGGCAAUUGGGGCUUUCAGAGACUUAACCACCAACCAAAGACCAUAAAACGGCUAGACCUAGGUCUCUUUGCACAUAUAUAGCAGAUGUACAGCUUGGCCUUCAUUUGAGACCUGAACAAAUGAAACUGAGGCUAUUCCAAAAGCUGUUUGAUGCAUGUAGGAUAUGUUAUUCUAGCUGUACUGCCUUGUCAGGACUCAGUGGGAGAGGAGGCACCUACUCUUGCAGAGACUUGAAGUGUAGGAUUGGGGAAUAUCCAGGAGUCCCCCAACCACGGAAAGGAGAAAGUAAGAGAGGACUGGGGAAGGAGUAUGUGAGGGGGGUUGACUGGGAGGGGAAGUGGGCCACAUGUAAAGUGAAUAAUUAAAAAAUAAAAAAUAGAGGUCAUCGGCAGGUGUGCCCCUCUGAAGACUCUACAACCUGAAGUCCUCCAAGAAGAUCUGCUGCACCCAAGGCAACAGAGAAGGUACCCUCCCAAAUAACUUCAGUAGCUGGCCCCCCCAAGGAGUCCAGUGGACUAGGUACCCAUCUCAUUUACACAAACUGUACAUCCAUUCUGGUCAGUGCCUUCUGCAUGGGCAGAUCAUCAGCAUAUCAGUCCCUCAGAAGACUCCACAGUCUGAAGGCAUCCCAGAAGAACUUCUGCACACCCAUAGCAACAGGUAAAGAACACUCACAAAUAACCACAGCACAUAGGACCCCUGAGGAACCCAUUGGAUAUCUCCAUUCAAACUCCACCUCCCUUUAAGCCUGCAUCUUCUGCCAGGAUGUAUCAUCAGCAUAUCUGCCCUUCUGAUGAUUCCACAAUCUGAAGGACACCAAGGAGAUCUGUUGAACCCAGAGCAAAAGAUCCCACAGUAAGAAGGCCUACUAGGGGGGCUGCUACACCUAAGGCAAGAGACCACACAGUCUGAAGGAUUCCCAGGAGACCUCCAACCAGGGCCACAGAUCUCCCAAGGAUACUGAAGCAAACCACUGACGCAGGAGGUAGGUGCAAGACAGAGAAAAAUAAAUCAGUUAACAAUAGAGAUAACCAGAUAUUGAGAAGCAAGUGCAAGAGCAUAAUUAAUGAAAGCCAAUGUACACUGGCACCAUAAGACCUCAUUUGGAUACCCCAAAGCAAAUGAAAAUUAUGAUGCUGACCUGAAAUCCUAUCUCAUGGAGUUAACAGGGUUAAUUUAAAAAGACAUAAGAAAAAGUGGGGAAGAAUCUCAAACAUUUGGGCACUGGAGAAAAUUUCAUGAACAAAAACCAAUGGCUUAUGCUCUAAGAUCGAGAUUCGAAAAAUGGGAUUUCAUAAAACUGCAAAGCUUCUGUAAGGCAAAGGACACUGUGGUUAGGAAAAAACAGCAACCAACAGAUUGGGAAAAGAUCUUUACCAAUCCCACAACUGAUAGAGGGCUUAUAUCCAAAAUAUACAAAGAACUCACAAAGGUAGACUGCAGGGCGGCAAAUAACCCUAUUAAAAAUAGGGUUCAGAGGUAAACAAAGAAUUCACAGCUGAGGAAUGCUAAAUGGCUGAGAAGCACCUAAAGAAAAGUUCAACAUUUUUAGUCAUAAGGGAAAUGCAAAUCACAACAACCCUGAGAUUCUACCUCACACCAGUCAGAAUGGCUAAGAUCAAAAACUCAGGUGACAGCAAAUGCUGGAAAGGAUGUGGAGAAAGAGGAACACUCCCCCAUUGUUGGUGGGAUUACAGAAUGGUUCAACAAUUCUGGAAAUCAGUCUGGAGGUUCCUGAGAAAAUUGGACAUUGAACUACGUGAGGACCCAGCCAUACCACUCUUGUGCACAUACCCAAAAGAUGCCCCAACAUAUAACAAAGGCACAUGCUCCAAUAUGUUUAUAGCAGCCUUCUUUAUAAUAGCCAGAAUCUGGAAAGAACCCAGAUGCCCUUCAACAGAGGAAUGAUACAGAAAAUGUGGUACAUCUACACAAUGGAAUACUAUUCAGUUAUAAAAAAACAAUAACUUUAUGAAAUUCAUAUGCAAUUGGAUGGAACUGGAAAAUUGGGAUCCAGACUGAGGAAACCCAAUCACAGAAAAACACACAUGGUAUGUACUCAUUGAUAAGUGGAUAUUAGCCCAAUGCUUGAAUUACCCUAGCUGCACAGAGCACAUGAAACUCAAGAAAGAUGAACAAAUUGAGAAUGCUUCAUUCCUUCUUUAAAAGGGGAACAAGAAUACCCUUGGGAGGGAAUAGGGAGGCAAAGUUUAGAACAGAGGCUGAAGGAACGCCUAUUCAGAGCCUGCCCCACAUGUGGCCCAUACAUAUACAGCCACCAAACUAGAUAAGAUAGAUGAAGCAAAGAAGUGCAUGCUGACAGGAACCAGAUGUAGAUCUCUCCUGAGAGACACAGCCAGAAUAUCACAAAUACUUAGACAAAUGCCAACAGGAAACCACUGAACUGAGAGGAGGACCCCCGUUGAAGGAAUCAGGAAAAGGACUGAAAGAACUUAAGGGGCUUGAGACCCCAUAUGAACAACAAUGCCAACCAACCAUAGCCUCCAGUGACUUAGCCACUAUACAAAAACUAUACAUGGACUGACCCUGGGCUCCAACUGCAUACGUAGCAAUGAAUAGCUUAGUAAGGGCACCAGUGGAUGGGGAAGCCCUUGGUCCUGCCAAGGCUGGACCACCACUGAACGGGAUUGUUGGGGGGAGGGCGGUAAUGGGGGGAGGAUGGGAAGGGGAACACCAAUAUAGAAGGGGAGUGGGAGCAGUUAGGGGUAUGUUGGCCUGGAAACCAGGAAAGGGAAGAGCAAUUGAAAGGUAAAUAAGAAAUACCCAAUUUCAUAAAGAUGGAAAAAAAAAAAACUUCAGCAACAGCAGAUGCUGGUGAGGAUGUGGAGAAAGAUGAACACUCCUCCAUUGUUGGUGGGAUUCCAGACUGAUACAAGAGGGGUAGGGGUUGGGGUAUGUUGGCCUGGAAACCAGGAAAGGGAAUAACAUUUGAAAUGUAAAUAAGAAAUUCCCAAUUUAAUAAAGAUGAGGAAAAAAAGAAAAAAAAACAGGAAGAAUAAGAUGAAAAUCCCAGAAGCCAGAGGGAGGGACGAACUUGGGUUUGGGAAGAAUACAGGAAAGGGCCAGGGGGAACAGGGUCGCAUACAGGGUGGAGAGAUAGGAUAGAGACUCUGAAGGCCAGUAUAACAAAUGUAAUUAUGUGACCUCAGGGGUUGGGAUCUGGGGUUACCCUCUAAAAACCAGAAAUCUGGGAGGUGAGAGAAUUUCUGGAUUCAAAUGAAGAACCCUUAAAUAAAAUGCCUUACAGUAGAGAUAGGGAUCUUGUACAGCAUACCUCAAAUAGGAAGACCGGGCAUCAAGUGUACAUUUGGGGUUGCCAUCUCACAGUGAAACCCCUGACCCAGAAUUGUUCCUGUUUAAAAUAACUUCAGGGACAAAAAUGAAGAAGAAUCUGAGGGAAAGGAGGUUCAGCGAUUGGCCCACCUUUGGAUUCAGCUCAGGUGGUUGUUCCAAGGCUUGACCCUAUUACUUAUGCUGUGGUGUGGUUAUAGGCAGGAGCCUAGCAUGUCAUUAAUCUGAGAGAUCCAACAAACAACUGAUAUAGAUGCAAUAAUUACACCUAAACAGUGGACUGAAGUUGAGGACCCCUGUGUUUGAAUUAGGGAAAAGCUGGAAGAAGCUGAGGAGGAGGGUGACCCCAUAGAAAAAUCAUCAAUCUCAACUAA